rnacentral:rRNA from 1 species
ACGAACGUUGGCGGCGCGCCUAACACAUGCAAGUCGCACGAGAAAGGGAGCAAUCCCCGGUACAGUGGCGCACGGGUGAGUAACACGUGGGUAACCUUCCCUUGAGCGGGGGAUAACAUUCCGAAAGGAGUGCUAAUACCGCAUAAGACCACAGCCGGUUCGCUGGCAGGGGUUAAAGCAGGCCUCUUCAUGAAAGCUUGCACUCGAGGAUGGGUCCGCGGCCCAUCAGCUAGUUGGUGGUGUAAAGGACCACCAAGGCUAAGACGGGUAACUGGUCUGAGAGGAUGAUCAGUCACACUGGAACUGAGACACGGUCCAGACUCCUACGGGAGGCAGCAGUGGGGAAUCUUGCGCAAUGGACGAAAGUCUGACGCAGCGACGCCGCGUGGGUGAUGAAGGCCUUCGGGUUGUAAAGCCCUGUGGGGAGGGACGAAUAAGUCUGACCUAAUACGUCAGGCGAUGACGGUACCUCCAUAAGAAGCCCCGGCUAACUACUGUGCCAGCAGCCGCGGUAAUACAGUAGGGUGCAAAGCGUUGUCCGGAAUUUAUUGGGCGUAAAGAGCGUGUAGGCGGCUCAGGUAAGGUCGGUUGUGAAAGACCAGGGCUUAACCUCUGACGUCGCACUCGAUACCAUCUGGCUAGAGUCCCGGAAGAGGAUGAGUGGAAUUCCUGGUGUAGCGGUGAAAUUCGCUAGAUAUCGAGAAGAGCACCCGUGGCGAAAGGCGGCUCAUCUGGGACGGUGACUGACGCUGAGACGCGAAAGCGUGGGGAGCGAACAGGAUUAGAUACCCUGGUAGUCCACGCCGUAAACGAUGGGUGCUAGGUGUGCACGGGUAUCGACUCCUCCGGUGCCGCAGCUAACGCAUUAAGCACCCCGCCUGGGAGUACGGCCGCAAGGCUAAAACUCAAAGGAAUUGACGGGGGCCCGCACAAGCAGGCUGGAGCAUGUGGUUUAAUUCGACGCAACGCGAAGAACCUUACCAGGGCUAUGAAAUGCUCGGGAAAGCCGGGGAAACUCGGCCCUCCUUCGGGACUCGAGUACAGGUGGUGCAUGGCUGUCGUCAGCUCGUGUCGUGAGAUGUUGGGUUAAGUCCCGCAACGAGCGCAACCCCUAUCCCAUGUUGCCAGCGAGUCAUGUCGGGGACUCAUGGGAAACUGCCGGUGACAAAUCGGAGGAAGGUGGGGAUGAGGUCAAGUCAUCAUGCCCCUUAUGUCCUGGGCUACAAACGUGCUACAUUGGCCGGUACAAAGGGCUGCAAACCCGCGAGGGUGAGCGAAUCCCAAAAAGCCGGUCCCGGUUCGGAUUGGAGGCUGAAACUCGCCUCCGUGAAGGCGGAGUUGCUAGUAAUCGCGGAUCAGCAACGCCGCGGUGAAUACGUUCCCGGGCCUUGUACACACCGCCCGUCACACCACGAAAGUCGGCAAUACCCGAAGCCGGUGGGCUAACCGCAAGGAGGCAGCCGUCGAAGGUAGGGUCGAUGAUUGGGGUG